AGGGGGAGUAACAUCCGGAAACGGGUGCUAAUACGCAUAGUUUUUCUUGGUCGCGAUGAUCGGGAAAGGAAAGACGGCCUUUGUGCUGUCGCUUAUGGAUGGGCCCGCGGCGUAUUAGUUAGUUGGUGAGGUAACGGCUCACCAAGACGAUGAUACGUAGCCGACCUGAGAGGGUGAUCGGCCACAUUGGGACUGAGACACGGCCCAAACUCCUACGGGAGGCAGCAGUAGGGAAUCUUCCGCAAUGGACGAAAGUCUGACGGAGCAACGCCGCGUGAGUGAAGAAAAGGUUUUCGGAUCGUAAAACUCUGUUGUCAGAGAAGAACAAGUUGGAGAGUAACUGCUCCAGCCUUGACGGUAUCUGACCAGAAAGCCACGGCUAACUACGUGCCAGCAGCCGC
rnacentral:rRNA from 1 species